rnacentral:rRNA from 1 species
AGUGAACGCUGGCGGCAGGCUUAACACAUGCAAGUCGAACGGCAGCACACUAAUUGCUUCCUCUUACGGGUGGCGCGUGGCGGACGGGUGAGGAAGACAUCGGAAUCUACUUUUUCUUGGGGGAUAACGUAAAGAAAGUUACACUAAUACCGCAUACGACCUACGGGUGAAAGCAGCGGAUCUUCGGACCUUGUGCGAUUGAAUUAGCCGAUGUCGGAUUAUCGAGUUGGCGGGGUAAAGGUCCGCCAAGGCGACGAUCCGUAGAUGGUCGGCGAGGAGGGUGAGCCACCAUAGAGGUGAGACACGCUCGAGAAGACUACGGGAGGCAGCAGUGGGGAAUAUUGGACAAUAGGGGGAAGCAUGAUGAAGCAAUACCGCGUGGGUGGAGAUGGCGUUCGGCUUGUAAAGAACUUUUGUUGGGAGUGAAGAGCAGCAGGUUAAUACCCCGCUGUUCUGACGGUACCCAAAGAAUAAGCACCGGCUAACUUCGUG